UGUAGGUGGCAGCAUUGUCAGGUUUUGCAGCCUGGUAAGCCCGAGUAAGUCUAUUUCUUUUCUGAUCUCUUUCCCUGGCUUCUUAACAUCUUCCUCCUUGCUAUCUCAUCAGGCCCCAGCCAACAUCAUUACCCGCUCUUGUCAGCUCUAGGGAAUAAAAAAGAUAACUGAAUCAUGGAUCUAGGACUGUAGGAGCCCUGACAGUUCAUCCGUUCCAGCAUCCUUGUUUUUGGGGAGAUGAAACUGAAAGAUCAAAUGAUUUGCCUCUUGCUGCACAGCUAGAAGUGUCUGAGUGCCCAUGAAUGUCACAGCUGUCAAACGUCUGUACACAAGAAGAUAAAAAAUGAAAUUAAUAAAAGGCAGA